AGCUCCUGAUUUGAUAUUCUGGACAGUGCACUGGUUGGCUGUACCUAGAUCAUGUGCUCAGGCCCAUCCUCAAAGGAGACUAAGAAAAUGUAGCUCCAGGGUAACUUCCUUUAAAAGAGAUUACUGAAUCAAGAGAGAAUCUGGAUCCUAGAGAGAGAGAACCCCAACACUUCUGAGUACUGUCAGCUGGUUGCCAAGUUGGGACACCUCAUCUCAGAGCCGUACCUGUACUUGCAGAAACUGGAGGAUUCUGAUACGGAAAAUUCGGAGAAUUUUGACAGGGGAUUUAUCCAGGAAAGUUUGGUUUAUCUACUUUGUGUCUACUGUAUACCUCUGGAAUGCUGUGAGAAGUAAAAUGAAGUAAUACAUGAGAAACUGCAUGUAUGCUCAGUUGUGUCCGACUGUUUGUGACCCCAUGGACUGCAGCCCUCCAGGGGGAUUUUUCAGGCAAGAACGCUGGAAUGGGUUGCCAUUUCCUUCUCCAGAGGAUCUUCCUGAUCCAGGGCUCAAACCUGCAUCUCCUGCACUGGGAGGUGAAUUCUUUACCACUGAGCCACCAGGGAAACCUAGUAAACUUUAAAAUGCAGCAAACUUAUUGCCAUUAGUAUUGCAGAACCUUGAGGCUGAAAAGGACUGUAAAGAUGGUCUAGUCUAACCCCACAAAUGUAGUAGGAAUCCUCCUAUAAGCAUCUCUAACCAGUUGCUAGCCAGCUCUACUCGCACCCUUAAAAUGACAGGGACUCCGUCCCUGAAACGUAGCCCCUUCUCUCUCUAGUUAGCUAUGAGAAAAACUGCUUCUUCAGGUUGGGCUGAAGCCUGUUUUGCUGCAGUCUCUGGGCAUACAGCACGCUUGUACACAUUGACUUCCACAAUUUGGAGACAGCCUUCACAGCUCAAGUCAUCUUCCCCGCCUCCCCCACCAGAGUACUUUUGCCUGCUAUUUCCAUCAGGAAAUAAUUUUCAGAUUCUUCAUUCCCUGGGACUCCACCCACUCCAGCUGGUUAGCGUCCCCUUGCAAACAAUGGUGUGCAGAGCAAACAUAGUCAGCACUGCUGAUGUGACCUCAUCAGGACAAAGUGCAGAACAGGCAUCACCUCCUGUGAUUUACACACAUUGACUCUAUUUUUUUUUUUCCCAAUUGUGAAUUCCACCAAGACUCUCUGUGACUCUGUUCAUAAAGCACAGAAUCAAUACUUUUCAGCAGUUGCAUCAAGUUGGCUCAUUUUAAGAUUGCAUUUGGCAAAUACUCCUAAGUCUUUCUCAUCUGAACAUCAGCUUCCCAGAUUUAUAAUUAGUUUAGGUGGACCCAGUUUAAGGAAUAUCACAUUGCCAGCACCACUGAUUGCCAGUAGAAGGUGGGCUUUUAGUUACCACCCUUCAUCCCUUGUCCUUCCCUCCCUGGUUCAGGAACCACUGUCAUGACUUCUGUGAAAGUCCUUCUCUUCCCAUCUUUACAGUUUACCAACUUUGUGUGGAUGAGGUUUAGUUUUGCCUGUUUUGAGGUUUUACAUAAAUGGACUCACUCUGUAUGUAUGAUUCUACAACUUCUUUCUCUCAGAAUUAUGUUUGUGGGAUUCAUCUAUAUUGACUAUGUAGCUGUUGUUUGUUCAUUAUUAUUGCUGUAGACUAUUCCAUUGUAUGAAUAUUUUAAAAUUUAUUCUGUUGAUGAAUUCUUGGGCUUUUAUUUAUUUUAUUAUAAGCUAUGUCACCUUAAAUAUUCUGUAUCUACUGUGGCACAUGUGCAAUGUAAUUGACAAGCAAUUAUUACAUGUGUUUAAAUCUUAUCUCCC